rnacentral:rRNA from 1 species
UACAGAGGGUGCGAGCGUUGUUCGGAAUUAUUGGGCGUCAAGGGCGCGUAGGCGGCCCGGUAAGUCAAAGGUGAAAUCCCUCGGCUCAACUGAGGAACUGCCUUUGAAACUGUCGGGCUUGAGGCCGGGAGGGGGUAGCGGAAUUCCCAGUGUAGCGGUGAAAUGCGUAGAUAUUGGGAGGAACACCAGUGGCGAAGGCGGCUACCUGGACCGGUUCUGACGCUGAGGCGCGAAAGCGUGGGUAGCAAACAGG